CCUACGGGUGGCAGCAGUGGGGAAUAUUGCACAAUGGGGGAAACCCUGAUGCAGCGACGCCGCGUGAGUGAAGAAGUAUUUCGGUAUGUAAAGCUCUAUCAGCAGGGAAGAUAAUGACGGUACCUGAGUAAGAAGCCCAGGCUAACUACGUGCCAGCAGCCGGGGUAAUACGUAGGGGGCAAGCGUUAUCCGGAUUUACUGGGGGUAAAGGGAGCGUAGACGGCAUGGCAAGGCUGAAGGGAAAGCCCGGGGCUUAACCGCGGGACGGCUUUGGAAACUGUUGAGCUGGAGUGCAGGAGAGGUAUGUGGAAUGCCUGGUGUAGCGGUGAAAUGCGUAGAUAUUAGGAGGAACACCAGUGGCGAAGGCGGCUUACUGGAGUGUAACUGACGUUGAGGCUCGAAAGCGUGGGGAGCAAACAGGAUUAGAUACCCGAGUAGUC
rnacentral:rRNA from 1 species